GUGUGUGUUUAAAAUACAGAAAAAAAGAAGCAUGGCUUUCCUCAGCUGCAGAGGCGGGCCGGGUUCUAUCGGUGCCAAGUCCCUCAGAGCGGACACUGUGGGGACACGGGAGGCACAAGAAGGCUGCAGAGGUGAGGGACGGGUGUGGAGAAAAAUGGACGCUUGCCAUCUCGAGCGCCAGCGGGUGCACAACGCCAGACCCCACGAACAAAACCCACGGCAGAUCUCUGGCAGCCCAUGUUAGGAGGCAGAAGACAGUUGGCAGCACUGCAGCACAGAGGGCAGCCCGGGAGCGGGCGGAUGUAGCCAAGGCCGGCACGGAACAGCUUUUCCAGCUAAGGCUUCGUGGCUGAAACAAACAUCACCCUAUUCAUAGCAAAGAUCUCAGAGGACAGACCCAGAGGUGACCCAGGUGUGGGAAUUGGAAGGGAAAGAUUGGAAGAAGAGCAGGGAGCAACAUGUGGACCACAGGAAAGAAAGGUGCCAGGAGCCUGGAACAGGACCCCCGGACUCGACAGAGUACAGUAAUCUAUGGCGUAGACAAUCUGCUGUUUCUACAACUGAUAUUUUGUUUUGUGACAUUUCUCAAGCUUGUACUGGAAGCAGAUGUGUACACAUUAUAAAU